CAAUAGCGUAUAUUAAAGUUGUUGCAGUUAAAAAGCUCGUAGUUGGAUUUCUGGUGGGAGCGAUCGGUCUGGCGCUUAGCGCGAGUACUUGCAUCGUCUCCGGCCAUCCUUGGGGAAAGUCUGUCUGGCAUUAAGUUGUCGGGCAGAGGAUCCUCAUCGUUUACUGUGAAAAAAUUAGAGUGUUCAAAGCAGGCUUAUGCCGUUGAAUAUAUUAGCAUGGAAUAAUAAGAUAGGACUUUGGUACUAUUUUGUUGGUUUGCGCAAGAAGGUAAUGAUUAAUAGGGACAGUUGGGGGUAUUCGUAUUCCAUUGUCAGAGGUGAAAUUCUUGGAUUUUUGGAAGACGAACUACUGCGAAAGCAUUUACCAAGGAUGUUUUCAUUAA
rnacentral:rRNA from 1 species